UACGUAGGUGGCGAGCGUUGUACGGAUUUAUUGGGCGUAAAGCGAACGCAGGCGGGAGAACAAGUCAGCUGUGAAAGCCCUCGGCUUAACCGGGGAAUGUCAACUGAAACUGUUUUACUUGAGUGCAGAAGAGGAGAGUGGAACUCCAUGUGUAGCGGUGAAAUGCGUAGAUAUAUGGAAGAACACCAGUGGCGAAGGCGGCUCUCUGGUCUGUAACUGACGCUGAGGUUCGAAAGCGUGGGUAGCGAACAGG
rnacentral:rRNA from 1 species